UACAGAGGGUGCAAGCGUUGCUCGGAUUUACUGGGCGUAAAGCGUACGCAGACGGUGAGAAACGUCGGAUGUGAAAGCCCCGGGCUCAACCCGGGAACUGCAUCCGAAACCAUCUCGCUAGAGUAUGGGAGAGGGAAGCGGAAUUCCUGGUGUAGAGGUGAAAUUCGUAGAUAUCAGGAGGAACACCUGCGGCGAAGGCGGCUUCCUGGCCCAUUACUGACGUUCAGGUACGAAAGCGUGGGUAGCAAACAGG
rnacentral:rRNA from 1 species